AGUGAACGCUGGCGGUAGGCCUAACACAUGCAAGUCGAACGGCAGCACAGUAAGAGCUUGCUCUUACGGGUGGCGAGUGGCGGACGGGUGAGGAAUACAUCGGAAUCUACUUUUUCGUGGGGGAUAACGUAGGGAAACUUACGCUAAUACCGCAUACGACCUACGGGUGAAAGCAGGGGAUCUUCGUACCUUGCGCGAUUGAAUGAGCCGAUGUCGGAUUAGCUAGUUGGCGGGGUAAAGGCCCACCAAGGCGACGAUCCGUAGCUGGUCUGAGAGGAUGAUCAGCCACACUGGAACUGAGACACGGUCCAGACUCCUACGGGAGGCAGCAGUGGGGAAUAUUGGAAAAUGGGCGCAAGACUGAUCCAGCCAUACCGCGUGGGUGAAGAAGGCCUUCGGGUUGUAAAGCCCUUUUGUUGGGAAAGAAGAGCAGCAGGUUAAUACCCCGCUGUUCUGACGGUACCCAAAGAAUAAGCACCGGCUAACUUCGUG
rnacentral:rRNA from 1 species